GACGAACGCUGGCGGCGUGCCUAAUACAUGCAAGUCGAACGCUUCUUUCCUCCCGAGUGCUUGCACUCAAUUGGAAAGAGGAGUGGCGGACGGGUGAGUAACACGUGGGUAACCUACCCAUCAGAGGGGGAUAACACUUGGAAACAGGUGCUAAUACCGCAUAACAGUUUAUGCCGCAUGGCAUAAGAGUGAAAGGCGCUUUCGGGUGUCGCUGAUGGAUGGACCCGCGGUGCAUUAGCUAGUUGGUGAGGUAACGGCUCACCAAGGCCACGAUGCAUAGCCGACCUGAGAGGGUGAUCGGCCACCCUGGGACUGAGACACGGCCCAGACUCCUACGGGAGGCAGCAGUAGGGAAUCUUCGGCAAUGGACGAAAGUCUGACCGAGCAACGCCGCGUGAGUGAAGAAGGUUUUCGGAUCGUAAAACUCUGUUGUUAGAGAAGAACAAGGACGUUAGUAACUGAACGUCCCCUGACGGUAUCUAACCAGAAAGCCACGGCUAACUACGUG
rnacentral:rRNA from 1 species